GUCCAACCCUCUUCCUGGAGAUCUACUGUCCUGUAGGUUUUUCAGGCCAACCCUCUUCCUGGAGAUCUACUGUCCUGUAGGUUUACAGUCCAACCCUCUUCCUGGAGAUCUACUGUCCUGGAGAUCUACUGUCCUGUAGGUUUUCAGUCCAACCCUCUUCCUGGAGAUCUACUGUCCUGUAGGUUUUCAGUCCAACCCUCUUCCUGGAGAUCUACUGUCCUGUAGGUUUUUCAGGCCAACCCUCUUCCUGGAGAUCUACUGUCCUGUAGGUUUACAGUCCAACCCUCUUCCUGGAGAUCUACUGUCCUGUAGGUUUACAGUCCAACCCUCUUCCUGGAGAUCUACUGUCCUGUAGGUUUUUCAGGUCAACCCUCUUCCUGGAGAUCUACUGUCCUGUAGGUUUUCAGCCCAACCCUCUUCCUGGAGAUCUACUGUCCUGUAGGUUUUCAGUCCAACCCUCUUCACUGGAGAUCUACUGUCCUGUAGGUUUACAGUCCAACCCUCUUCCUGGAGAUCUGUCCUGGAGAUCUACUGUCCUGCAGGUUUUCAGUCCAACCCUCUUCCUGGAGAUCUACUGUCCUGGAGAUCUACUGUCCUGUAGGUUUACAGUCCAACCCUCUUCCUGGAGAUCUACUGUCCUGUAGGUUUUCAGCCCAACCCUCUUCCUGGAGAUCUACUGUCCUGUAGGUUUUCAGUCCAACCCUCUUCACUGGAGAUCUACUGUCCUGUAGGUUUUCAGUCCAACCUUUUUUGGAAAACUGAAGCAAGGCACACGAUUCUUCUUUAAGAAAAUGACAAUUUCUGGUAAAAAAUAAAAGAAUUGUUUCGACAAAAAAUUUGGAUGAAAUGUACUAUGUUAAAAACAGCAAGAUUUCUCUCGGGAAUGAACUAUGAAACGAUGAAUGUAUGAAUGGGAUAGCAUCGUAUUAACCCCUU